GUUGAACGCUGGCGGCAUGCUUUACACAUGCAAGUCGAACGGUAACAGGCCGCAAGGUGCUGACGAGUGGCGAACGGGUGAGUAAUGCAUCGGAACGUUCCCAGUCGUGGGGGAUAACGCAGCGAAAGCUGCGCUAAUACCGCAUACGAUCUAUGGAUGAAAGCGGGGGACCGAAAGGCCUCGCGCGAUUGGAACGGCCGAUGUCAGAUUAGGUAGUUGGUGGGGUAAAGGCCCACCAAGCCAACGAUCUGUAGCUGGUCUGAGAGGACGACCAGCCACACUGGGACUGAGACACGGCCCAGACUCCUACGGGAGGCAGCAGUGGGGAAUUUUGGACAAUGGGCGCAAGCCUGAUCCAGCAAUGCCGCGUGCAGGAAGAAGGCCUUCGGGUUGUAAACUGCUUUUGUACGGAACGAAACGGUCCGGGUUAAUACCCUGGGCUAAUGACGGUACCGUAAGAAUAAGCACCGGCUAACUACGUGCCAGCCGCCGCAGUAAAAC
rnacentral:rRNA from 1 species